rnacentral:lncRNA from 10 species
AGAGCAAGGUCCACUCUUCAACACUGGAGAUGAACAGUUUGAUAGUCACUCUGUCUGUUCCUGAUCCUUGCAAUGGGGAUGGAGGCUGUGGUGGAGGCUCCACCAAUCAGACACUCUGUCCCAGGACUUUGAAUCAAGACAGAGGAGAGUCCACUUUUGUGGCAUCAGCAUCAAAUCUCCAAGACCAGAAGAGUUCCAGCAUACACAUCUCCUGUGCCUAAAAGGUCUCCAACAUCAAAGGUCUGCCGACUGCCACCCGCUGUGCUGGACUGAAUGUGGGAGGAAGAGCAACACUGCUUCUAAAACAGCCCCGCUACAAAGUGUGGGGUGAUGAUGAUCAGAGCUCCUGUGAAAAAUGUCUUAAGGGUAAGUUGACAAGUGGGUUUUUGAGCAGUUAUUUUUCUGCAAUCUGAGAAGCACAGCAGAAUUGUUGAAUGAAUACAGUUACAUGCCCCUCACAGAGAUUUCUGUGUAGCCUCUACAGUCACUUUCAAGUCACUUAUAAACACCCAUGGUGUCAGAUAUAAUCUACUCACACCCAAAACAUUAGUCCAUAAUGUAAAAUUUCCUAAGGAUUUUGGAAGGGAAAUGAAGGAUGAUUUUAUAGCGUCCAUGGGAUACACUCUCAUAAACCCUCUAUUCACCAGGGCUUCUCUUCCCAAGUCUCUCUGGCCUGCACUAGACAUACACCACAGAAUAUCUCCUCUUCUUUUCUUCCUCCCUCCUCCAGUAGUGUAAUGCUUAGCCUUCCAGACCCUGUCCCUCUUCCCCAGUCCCUUCCAAGUGCUUUAUGCAUAGCCAUUUCACCAAACUUCUCCCACUUCCCCAAACUUGCCUGCCCACAUGCAGGUGCUCAGCACAAAAUAAUUCCCCAAAGCAACCCUUAGAAGGGAGAGGUAGGUGGAUUCAUG